UACGUAGGGGGCAAGCGUUGUCCGGAUUUAUUGGGCGUAAAGAGCGUGUAGGCGGCCGUACAGGUCAGCUGUGAAAACUCGAGGCUCAACCUCGAGACGUCGGUUGAAACCGUACGGCUAGAGUCCGGAAGAGGAGAGUGGAAUUCCCGGUGUAGCGGUGAAAUGCGCAGAUAUCAGGAGGAACACCCAUAGCGAAGGCAGCUUGCUGGGACGUUACUGACGCUAAGGCGCGAAAGCCAGGGGAGCAAACGGG
rnacentral:rRNA from 1 species